rfam:Setaria italica strain Yugu1 chromosome VI, whole genome shotgun sequence.
UUGUCCUCUGGAGUUCCCUCCAAACACUUCACAAGCAGCUAGACCCUAGUGCAAUUGCACAAAGUCUAAUUCCAGCUAGUGAAGUGUUUGGGGAAACUCCAGGUGGUAC